GGGAGGAGCCGUUCUCCGGAAGCGCAGACUUAGAGGACUUGGAGGGGAAGCAAAUUCACCAAACAUAGGGACAGGCACGCUCGGCGAACACGUUCGCCCGGCUGUGCAGAGACGUCUUUCUUACCAAGAGUGGCAGCGCUCUUCGCGUCCUCCGAACUCACAUGAAAAACAACGAGAACCACCCGACCCCACUCUGCUUGCGGUGCGCGCGCAUCUCUGCUCUGGGACUGGGCGUGGCCGAGUCCGCAGCCACCUGCUGGCGGGUUCUCCACCCGAGAACCACCGCAGCAGCGACGACCCGGCGCACCUGCAGCGGCUUCACCUCGCGGUACCGUCGGAGAGCAAGACGCACGUAGGCGCAGCGCACUGGACCCUGUCCUUUCAUGCCCUCCUUCUCCGAGUUGCUGGGGCAGGGGGGGAGGGGUGGCGGACGAAAUUGUGCAUUCCCAGCACCCGCUCCCAGUCACAGCCCUCCUACCUCCUUCCGCCCUCUCCUCUCAUCCCCUCUCUCUGCUGUUACACCUUUAAAGUCAUUCCUGACUUUGAAGAAACUUCUCAAGUAUCACGUAAACUUAUCAUCUAGACAGAAAUUCUGUAUUGUGUUAAAUAAACUCUAUCCUUAUCUGACUGA